rnacentral:rRNA from 1 species
UACGUAGGGUGCGAGCGUUUAAUCGGAAUUACUGGGCGUAAAGCGUGCGCAGGCGGUUCGUUGUGUCGGUGGUGAAAGCCCCGGGCUCAACCUGGGAAUGGCCAUGGAAACUGGCGAACUGGAGUGUGGCAGAGGGGGGGUGGAAUUCCGCGUGUAGCAGUGAAAUGCGUAGAGAUGCGGAGGAACACCGAUGGCGAAGGCAGCCCCCUGGGCUAGCACUGACGCUCAGGCACGAAAGCGUGGGGAGCAAACAGG